CGGACGAACGCUGGCGGCGUGGAUUAGGCAUGCAAGUCGGACGGUAGGGCUUUAUCGUAAGAUAGAGUUUGAGAGUGGCGAACGGGUGAGUAACACGUAGGUUAUCUACCCUCAAGACGGGGACAACCCAGGGAAACUUGGGCUAAUACCGGAUGUGAGCAACUUUUAGUUGUUUGAAAGGUGGCGUAAGCUGUCGCUUGGGGAUGAGCCUGCGUCCUAUUAGUUAGUUGGUGAGGUAACGGCUCACCUAGGCAAUGAUAGGUAGGCGGCCUUAACGGGUGGUCGCCCACACUGGGAUUGAGAUACGGCCCAGACUCCUACGGGAGGCAGCAGUCGAGAAUAGUCUACAAUGGUCGGAAGACUGAUAGUGCGACGCCGCGUGAACGAUGAAUCCCUUCGGGGUGUAAAGUUCUUUUAUAUGUGAGCAGUGCUUCUUAUAUUAACAGUAUGGGGAGAGAGAUAUUAGCAUAUGAAUAAGCAACGGCUAACUCCGUG
rnacentral:rRNA from 1 species